rnacentral:lncRNA from 1 species
CUCCACUAUUUAUUUAUACAAACUAUUUAUAGUUGCAAAACUUUUUGAUCAGACAAUAAUCAAUGUAAGCUGUCGAGAAGUGGAAAAGAUGAAGACUUUCUAUGUUUUACAUAAAUUACAGCAAUAUGAUACAUAUAUAACCUGGUUUAAGACCAAUCUACGUAGGAAUAAAUUGUAGAGACUAAAUCUGCCACAAAUCUGCUUCGAAGGAAACAAAAUCCACUUCUUGUACUCAACUCCACAACCAACAAAGAAGCAAAAGAACAAAGUGACAUAAUUCACCUCCGAACCAAUGGCUUCCUUAGGGAGUUCCUUGGCACGUUCUUCCUAAACAAAGGACGCUGAAAGAAAUAUCAGAGAGAAGAGAUUCAGGAUCAGACUCGAUCAAACUCAUUUUGCAAGUGGUCGAGUUACCAACCAGCUGUUUCAUUUCUCUUCUUGUAGGCAUUUUGUCGAAUAGGUUGAAUGCGCAAUCCAGAGAGAACACCAGGCCUUCCCGCCCGUGGUGUCCGGUAACCACGCCGCGCCCACACGCUCCCCCCUUCUUCUCGCACGUGCUCUCUCCUUCUCCCUGUAUGCG